rnacentral:rRNA from 1 species
GACGAACGCUGGCGGCGUGCUUAACACAUGCAAGUCGAACGGAAAGGCCCCUUUCGGGGUUCUCGAGUGUUGAACGGGUGAGUAACACUAGAGUAACCUUCCCUUAACUUCGAGAUAGCUUCAACAAACUGAGGCUAAUACUGAUUAGGAAUCAUUUCUUCAUGGUGGGGGUUGGAAAGCUUCAGCGGGUCUUGAUGGACUCGCGGCUUAUCAGCUUGUUGGUGUGGUAGUGGCUUACCAAGGCGUUGACGGGUAGCCGGACUGUGAGGGCGACCGGCCACAUUGGGACUGAGGUACGGCCGCGGCAGCUACGGGAGGGAGCAGUGGGGAAUAUUGACCAAUGGGCGGCAGCCUGAUGCAGCAACGCCGCGGGCGGGAUGACGGCGUUCGGGUUGUAAAACGCUUUCAGCAGGGGCGGAGCAUGUGGUGACGGUACCUGCAGAAGAAGCACCGGCUAACUACGUG